CCAGCAGCCCACGUGGGUUUCAGAAAUAGAACCCUCUGCCGAUGUGUCCUGUUCUCUGUGUUCUGGUUCCCUGUCCCUCCUGGGCCAGCUCCCCCUGGGGCAUGCUGGGACCGCUGCCACCUUCACACUUGGGUGUCCUGUUCCCUUGAAGCCCAGGCCAGUGAGCGAGCAGCGUCACUCUCCAGGGCUGUCCCCUCGGAGGGGAGAAGGCAUCUUGUGCCUGAAAUCCUUGUUUACAAAGAACACACAAGACACCCAGACGUGGGGCAGACAUGGAAGCCUUCUCCCAGAGCCAAAGGACAUGGCCUCAGUUCCCAGUGGCCAGUGACCGACCCCUUCCCCCCGACGCCGCCUGCGUGGGUGGGACCCGGGUUGUGGAGACAGAGACGGGCGCUGCGGUGUCACGCUGGCGCGUGCCUCCUGCCCGAUGCGCAGAAGCGCAGUAUCGGGGCGACCUCCUCUCCAGCAUCUUCUGCAGACAGGUCAGGGCUGGAGGCGCCUGGUCUGGAGGAGCCCCGGAGAGGAGGGAGGGAGGGCAGGCGGCGAGCGGGGGCCUGUUUCCUGACUCCUCUGACCCUGGCUUUCCGCCAGGGCCCCUGCAAGAUCACAGAGGGCGAAAUUCCAGCCCGGGGCCUGAGCGGUGACUUCAGUUUCUUGAUAAGGCUCCAGAAGGGACACAAUGUGUCCUCCCCACGCCCCCACCCUGUCAGCACCUCCGCUCUGGUGAAGCCUGGGCCGCACACAGCCUGACUGGGGAAGAGACAAAGAUAGACUGGGGACAGAUAAGGACAGAGACAGGUGGGGAUGGAGGGGUAGGGGGCAGAGAGGUGAGAUGGGGCAGAGGCCGAUGCGAGGGGCAGUGAGGAGUGGGCCUGGGGCCUGGGAGAUUGGCAGCAGACUGUGGAUGCAGCUUGGGAAGGGCACGGUGCGGUCAGCCAGCUGGAACACAGGGGAUCCCCCCCGAUCGUGGGGACCAGGGACUGCUGGGAAGAGGGGUGGAGGGUUAAUGUGGAGCAGGGUCUCUGAGCCUCCAGGAGCCAAGAUCAGAAAGGUAGAGGGAGGGAGGUGACGCCCUGUACCUGUGGUGAGGGUGGGGGAGGGAGCAGGGGGGCAAGUGCAGCUGAUCUGGACUGUGGAGUCGCCUCUGGUGUGGGGCACACUUGCAUCUCUGUGGCUGAUUGUUUGCACCCGACUCUGGCUGUUUGACUUGGCAAGCGAGCAAGGCCAUAAAGUCAGAGCUGGCCCGUGGGCUCCCAGGCACCAUGUGCCGCUGAGGCACAGCCGCAUCCCCACGCCCUGCAGAGCGGGAGCCUGUGCUGGUGCCUGCACUCACAGACGCACACUGUAUGGGAAGCUGCAGGUGCCGCCUCAGAGGAAUGUGCUUACGUGCACCUGCACACAGGUACCCCGGGUGUCCAAGGACGCCGCACACACCUGAUUCUGAGUCAUCCUCACCAGCAAACCCUGGGGGCGGGCGCCGAGAGUACAACCCCGCCGUCCCUGUCUGCAUUUGGAUGCCGUGUGUUUAUGUACAGGGGAUUUUUUGGAAAACCUCAUGAAAUAUGCAUGUUGUGCAAAAACUGUGUCUGAUUUUAAAGUUUUUUGGCAUCAAAAGAAACUUACCUUUUAGUUCUGGUUUCUGUGAAUUCUUUUUUUUUAUGACGAUAUUGAUUUAUUUUAUAAGAAUAUACAGUGUUUUUUUUUUUACUUUUAUUUAAUGAAUAUAAAUUUCCAAAGUACGGCUUAUGGA
ensembl:lncRNA